rnacentral:lncRNA from 7 species
AAACCCGAAUCCCCUAAUCCCUAUAUAAUCCCUAUAUAAUCCCUAACCAUGACCCCAAUCCUAACCCAAACCCGAAUCCCCUAAUCCCUAUAUAAACCUGAAUCCCCUAAUCCCUAUAUAAUCCCUAACCCCAACCUGACCCUAAUCCUAACCCAAACCCGAAUCCCCUAAUCCCUAUAUAAACCUGAAUCCCCUAAUCCCUAUGUAAACCUGAAUCCUCUAAUCCCCUAAUCCCUAUAUAAUCCCUAUAUAAUUCCUAACCAUGACCCCUGACCCUAACCCUAACCCAAACCUGAAUCCCCUAAUCCCUAUAUAAUCCCUAACCAUGACCCCUGACCCUAAUCCUAACCCAAACCCAAAUCCCCUAAUCCCUAUAUAAUCCCAAACCCCGUCCCCUGACCCUAACCCCAAACCCUAACCCCGACCUCUGUCUCUGACCCCAACCCCAACCCCAAAUCGUGACCCCACAACCAAAACCCAACCCCCAACCCGGGCUCAUGGGGUCAUAUGGUCUCAGGGUCAUGGGGUCACACGGCCAGGGGGUCGUGGGGUCUCAGGGUCACAUGGUCUCAGGGUCACACGGUCACAGGGUCAUAGGGUCACGGGGUCACAGGGUCAUGGGGUCACAGGGUCACAUGGUCUCAGGGUCACAGGGUCACAGGGACAGGGGGUCACGUGCUCACAGGGUCAUAUGGUCUCAGGGUCAUGGGGUCACAGGGUCACAUGGUCCUGGGGUCACAGGGUCACAGGGACAUGGGCUCACGGGCUCAUUCGGUCAUGUGGUCUCAGGGUCACGUGGUCACAGGGUCAUGGGGUCAUGGGGUCACAGGGUCACAUGGUCACAGGGUCUCAGGGUCAUGGGGUCCCAGGGACAUGGGCUCACGGGCUCAUUGGGUCAUAUGGUCUCAGGGUCACAUGGUCACAUGGUCAUGGGGUCACACGGUCCCAGGGUCACAUGGUCACAGGGACAUGGGGUCACACAGUCCCAGGGUCACAUGGUCACAGGGACAUGGGGUCACAAGGUCCCAGGGUCACAGGGACAUGGGGUCACGGGCUCACUGGGUCAUAUGGUCUCAGGGUCACAUGGUCAUGGGGUCACAUGGUCACAGGGUCAUGGGGUCAUAUGGUCACAGAGUCACAAAGUCAUAUGGUCAUGGGGUCAUAUGGUCACAUGGUCACGGGGUCACAUGGUCCCGGGGUCCCAGGGUCCCAGGAUCACAGGGUCCUGGGGUCACCGGGUCAUAUUGUCAUGGGGUCACAUGGGCUCAGGGUCAUGGGGCCACACGGUCCCAGGGUCACAUGGUCACAGGGACAUGGGGUCACAAAUGAACAUUGACCCCGAGACCCGCAACCGUGCGGCCGUGUGACCCCAUGACCCCGUGACCCCAUGACCAUGUGACCCCAUGACCAUAUGACCCUAUGACCCCAUGACCAUGUUACCAUGUGACCCUGAGACCAUUUGACCCUGAGACCCCGCAACCGUGUGGCCGUGUGACCCCAUGACCAUGUGACCAUGUGACCCCAUGACCAUGUGACCCUGUGACCCCGUUACCCUGAGACCAUAUGACCCAGUGAGCCCGUGAGCCCAUGUCCCUGUGACCUUGUGACCCCGUAACCCUGUGACCCCAUGACCGUGUGUCCAUGUGACCCCAUGACCAUGUUACCAUGUGACCCCAUGACCCUGAGACCAUAUGACGCAGUGAGCUGU